rnacentral:rRNA from 1 species
GAUGAACGCUGGCGGCGUGCCUAAUACAUGCAAGUCGAGCGAACAGACGAGGAGCUUGCUCCUUUGACGUUAGCGGCGGACGGGUGAGUAACACGUAGGUAACCUACCUAUAAGACUGGGAUAACUUCGGGAAACCGGAGCUAAUACCGGAUAAUAUUUCGAACCGCAUGGUUCGAUAGUGAAAGAUGGCUUUGCUUUCACUUAUAGAUGGACCUGCGCCGUAUUAGCUAGUUGGUAAGGUAACGGCUUACCAAGGCAACGAGACGUAGCCGACCUGAGAGGGUGAUCGGCCACACGGGAACUGAGACACGGUCCAGACUCCUACGGGAGGCAGCAGUAGGGAAUCUGCCGCAAUGGGCGAAAGCCUGACGGAGCAACGCCGCGUGAGUGAUGAAGGUCUUCGGAUCGUAAAACUCUGUUAUUAGGGAAGAACAAACGUGUAAGUAACUGUGCACGUCUUGACGGUACCUAAUCAGAAAGCCACGGCUAACUACGUG